GAUGAACGCUAGCGGCGUGCCUAAUACAUGCAAGUCGAGCGAACAGACGAGGAGCUUGCUCCUCUGACGUUAGCGGCGGACGGGUGAGUAACACGUGGAUAACCUACCUAUAAGACUGGGAUAACUUCGGGAAACCGGAGCUAAUACCGGAUAAUAUAUUGAACCGCAUGGUUCAAUAGUGAAAGACGGUUUUGCUGUCACUUAUAGCUGGAUCCGCGCCGCAUUAGCUAGUUGGUAAGGUAACGGCUUACCAAGGCAACGAUGCGUAGCCGACCUGAGAGGGUGAUCGGCCACACUGGAACUGAGACACGGUCCAGACUCCUACGGGAGGCAGCAGUAGGGAAUCUUCCGCAAUGGGCGAAAGCCUGACGGAGCAACGCCGCGUGAGUGAUGAAGGUCUUCGGAUCGUAAAACUCUGUUAUUAGGGAAGAACAAAUGUGUAAGUAACUAUGCACGUCUUGACGGUACCUAAUCAGAAAGCCACGGCUAACUACGUG
rnacentral:rRNA from 1 species